GAUGAACGCUGGCGGCGUGCCUAAUACAUGCAAGUCGAGCGAACAGACGAGGAGCUUGCUCCUCUGACGUUAGCGGCGGACGGGUGAGUAACAUGUGGAUAACCUACCUAUAAGACUGGGAUAACUUUGGGAAACCGUAGCUAAUACCGGAAAAUAUAUUGAACCGCAUGGUUCCAUAGUGAAAGACGGUUUUGCUGUCACUUAUAGUUGGAUCAGCGCCGCAUUAGUUAGUUGGUAAGGUAACGGCUUACCAAGGCGACGAUGCUUAGCCGACCUGAGGGGGUGAUCGGCCACACUGGAACUGAGACACGGUCCAGACUCCUACGGGAGGCAGCAGUAGGGAAUCUUCCGCAAUGGGCGAGAGCCUGACGGAGCAACGCCGCGUGAGUGAUGAUGGUCUUCGGAUCCUAAACCUCUGUUAGUAGGGAAGUACAAAUGUGUAAGUACCUAUGCACGUCUUGACGGUACCUAAUCAGAAAGCCACGGCUAACUACGUG
rnacentral:rRNA from 1 species